rnacentral:lncRNA from 1 species
UGGUAUGGAAUGUGGGGUGGAGAGUAGACUGGAGGAGGAGGAGAAGGCGGUGGUGGAGACUUGUAGUGGUAAGGCGGUGACUUGGGAGGGUAGUGGGGGUGCUUAGGUGGUGAGUACACUGGUGGUGUUGGGGAUGGUGGUGGCUUAGGAGGGUAAUGGGGGUGCUUGGGUGGUGAGUACUUGGGUGGUGUUGGAGAGGGUGGUGACUUGGGAGGGUAGUGAGGAUGCUUGGGUGGUGAGUACACUGGUGGUGUUGGUGAGGGUGGUGACUUGGGAGGGUAAUGAGGGUGCUUGGGUGGUGAGUAGACCGGUGUCUUAGGUGGUGACUUGGGGGGGUAGUAGGGGUGGUGAGGUGGUGAGUAGACUGGCGUUGGUGGUGGAGGAGACUUGUAGUGGUAUGGCUUCUUUGGUGGUGGUGGUGAGUGAUGUGGGUGGUAGGGCUUCUUGUGUGGUGGCGGGGGUGGUGGAGACUUGUAGUGGUAAGGCUUCUUCGGUGGUGGUGGAGGUGGUGGAGACUUGUAGUGGUAUGGCUUCUUUGGUGGUGGUGGUGAGUGGUGUGGAUGGUAGGGCUUCUUGUGUGGUGGGGGUGGUGGAGGAGACUUGUAAUGGUAAGGGACCUUCGGUGGUGGCGGUGAUGGAGGAGGAGGAGACUUGUAGUGGUAAGGCACCUUAGGUGGUGGUGGUGAUGGAGGAGGAGGAGACUUGUAGUGGUAUGGCACCUUUGGUGGUGGUGGUGACGGAGGUGGUGGAGAUUUGUAGUGGUAGACAGGUGUCUUUGGUGGCGGGUACACCGGAGGCUUGGGAGGUGACUUGGGAGGGUAAUGUGGGUGCUUAGGAGGAGAGUACACCGGAGGCUUAGGUGGUGACUUUGGUGGGUAAUGGGGAUGCUUAGGCGGCGAGUACACCGGUGGUGUGGGUGAGGGUGGUGACUUUGGUGGGUAAUGAGGAUGCUUUGGUGGAGAGUACACCGGAGGCUUAGGCGGUGACUUGGGAGGAUAGUAAGGAUGAUGGGGUGGUGCGUAGUGCACUGGUGGCGGAG